rfam:Cavia porcellus supercont2_22 genomic scaffold, whole genome shotgun sequence.
GCAGUAAUAACUGAUAGAAAAAGCCUAUGCAAGAUUUAGAUCUGUUAUAGAUAAGCUUAGCAUGGUUCCUGCACAAGGAUGACAUGCAAAUUCAUGAAGUGUUCCAUGUUUGU